ACGCUGGCGGCAGGCUUAACACAUGCAAGUCGAACGGUAACAGGGAUUAGCUUGCUAAUCUGCUGACGAGUGGCGGACGGGUGAGUAAUGCUUGGGAAUCUGGCUUAUGGAGGGGGAUAACUACGGGAAACUGUAGCUAAUACCGCGUAAAAUCUUCGGAUUAAAGGGUGGGACUUUCGAGCCACCUGCCAUAAGAUGAGCCCAAGUGGGAUUAGGUAGUUGGUUAGGUAAAGGCUGACCAAGCCGACGAUCUCUAGCUGGUCUGAGAGGAUGACCAGCCACACUGGAACUGAGACACGGUCCAGACUCCUACGGGAGGCAGCAGUGGGGAAUAUUGCACAAUGGGGGGAACCCUGAUGCAGCCAUGCCGCGUGAAUGAAGAAGGCCUUCGGGUUGUAAAGUUCUUUCGGUGACGAGGAAGGUUGGUAGGUUAAUAGCCUAUCAAAUUGACGUUAAUCACAGAAGAAGCACCGGCUAACUCCGUGCCAGCAGCCGCGGUAAUACGGGGGGUGCGAGCGUUAAUCGGAAUAACUGGGCGUGAAGGGCACGCAGGCGGUGACUUAAGUGAGAUGUGAAAGCCCCGAGCUUAACUUGGGAAUUGCAUUUCAUACUGGGUCGCUAGAGUACUUUAGGGAGGGGUAGAAUUCCACGUGUAGCGGUGAAAUGCGUAGAGAUGUGGAGGAAUACCGAAGGCGAAGGCAGCCCCUUGGGAAUGUACUGACGCUCAUGUGCGAAAGCGUGGGGAGCAAACAGGAUUAGAUACCCUGGUAGUCCACGCUGUAAACGAUGUCGAUUUGGGGAUUGGGCUUUGAGCUUGGUGCCCGUAGCUAACGUGAUAAAUCGACCGCCUGGGGAGUACGGCCGCAAGGUUAAAACUCAAAUGAAUUGACGGGGGCCCGCACAAGCGG
rnacentral:rRNA from 1 species